UGUAAGACCCGUAAUUUCACAGUUUAUUUUGUGUAAGGAAAAUAAAUAUUGGAUAAAAGUUUUAGGGUUUUUGUUUAAGUCGUUUUGUAUGUAUCGUUGUAAUAACGACAUUUUUGCUGAGUUUAAGUCUGUUUUGUACUCGUGCGCUGAAAAGGCACAGACUUUUGGGCUGUAAUCCUCUUUUAUGUAUGAGAAGGUUUAUGCAAAUUCAGAAUGACGGGUUUUGGAUUAUUCUCGCUUUUGGAAAAACGAGCAGAAAUUUUACCCGC
rnacentral:lncRNA from 1 species